rnacentral:lncRNA from 1 species
CUUUCUGGUCUCUGAAACAAACCUCGAAACCCUAGUUCGAUCCACAUUCCCUGAAUUAAAAUUCAAGGUAUAUUACUUUGACCCGGACCGAGUCCGAAAUAUUAUCUCCACUUCCGUUAGACAAGCGCUUGAACAGCCGUUAAAUUAUGCUAGAAAUUACUUGGCGGAUCUUCUAGAGCCCUGUGUCAAUAGAGUUAUUUACUUGGAUUCGGAUCUUGUUGUUGUGGAUGAUAUUUCGAAGUUGUGGAGUACGAGUUUGGGGGAAAAAACUAUCGGAGCCCCGGAAUAUUGUCAUGCCAAUUUCACGAAGUAUUUCACAGCGUCGUUUUGGUCGGAACCGAGAUUUUCCGGAACGUUUAACGGCAGGAGACCGUGUUACUUUAAUACGGGGGUUAUGGUUAUAGAUCUGAAGAAAUGGAGGCGGGUCGGGUACACAAAACGGAUAGAGAAAUGGAUGGAUAUUCAGAAGACGAAUCGGAUCUAUGAACUGGGUUCACUACCGCCGCUAAUGUUGGUGUUCGCAGGACACGUGGCGCCGAUAGAGCACAGGUGGAACCAGCACGGGUUAGGCGGCGAUAAUGUGAAGGGAAGUUGCCGUGACUUGCAUCCCGGUGCGGUGAGCUUACUCCACUGGAGCGGUUCAGGCAAACCGUGGCUCCGGCUCGACUCAAAAAAACCGUGUCCGCUUGAUUCUCUAUGGGCACCCUACGAUUUGUAUGGAUUCUCGACGUGAAUUGUGCCGGUAAAUUCCUCCAGUAACUUCUUUUUUUUUUAAAUUUGGUUCAAUUUAUUGGGGAUUUUUAACUUCUCUAAUUUUUUGCUAUUUUCUACUCAAUUUAUUUCGUUCAAAUUUUGUUCCUUCUUUUAUAUUUUGAUUUUAACAUAUGAACAUUAUGAUUACCAGAAGAGACCAUUUGUAUUCUAUUCUAUUAUUCGUGCAGCUUGAAAUAAAAGGGAUUACAGAUGAUAUUGAGCUCAAUUUGCCUGUAAUCAGGCUGUACUCUUGCUCCAUUUGAUUAAAUUUGAUUUCAAUUACAUUAAAUUUGGUGAUUGUGCUUAAUUUUACACUUUUAAUUAGUAUUUGGAAGCGCUAAGAUUGUAGGUACGGUAGCAAGUAGGGUAUAUCUGCUGUGAUGUCAGCUAGAUAAAUGACUGACACUUAAUCAGUGGCCUAUAAAUAAUUAAACGACAGAAAUACUAUACUAUAAUUUGUAUGCAUUACACUUUUUUUUUUGGCUCUAACUUAAGUUAGUGUUGGAUAAUACUAGUCUAGUGGUAGUAGAUGAAAUAUGGUGUAGUAACUGGAAAAGAUGUGUAGCUCUUAUCUACUCAAUGCUUUUUUUGAAGUAUGCGAUUAUUAAAGAAUUGUACUUAUAACACAUCCAUCCAAAACGUUAAACAAACGGGAGAUCUUGACAAAUUAAUGUUAGGUUGUAGGAUGUAGGAUUACCAGGGCUCUCACGUUAAAUGCCAAAGGCAUUUUGCUAUUUUCAAACGCUGUCAUUUUAAAUGUUUCAAUGUAUUGUUAAUUAUAAUGUAUCUGGGGGCUAUGUAUUACUUAGAACAUGGACCAUGUGCGUGCAGCCUACUUUUGUUAAUGUAUGUAAUAGUGAGUUGAUAUGAAACAGCUUGGUUUUUGAUCAAUGAUUCUGUUUUUAUUAGCAUAACAUGGCUUUUUGUAUAAGAAGAAUGGGGUUUCUAAAGCAAUAUCGCACCCGGAGGUGUGACCUAGACAUGAUGAAAAUUAUGGAAGAUCAAAGUUCGAUUCUCACAACAACAGAAUAAUGAUUUAUUUGGUUUUGUGUAAGCUUUUACGGGAAUCGUCGAGAUGUGUGCACGAUAAUUGCUGCUACUAAAAAAUGCAUUAUGUGAGCCGUGGAUGGGAGGGAUAGUGUUGACACUUUUUUGAGACUAUUGUAAACAUAGGGGAAUGACAUUUAGCCAAAGAUUGUGGCACAUGGGAUGCUAAGAUAAUGGUGCGGGCAACGAACCCACAACCUCUUGAUCGGAAGAGAGGUUAUUUACCAUCAGAGCAACCCCUCUUGUUAGCUAUGGGAAUAUUAUUGUGGGAUAGAAGAGUGUUGCUGGCCAGCGGGUUAUGCGGUCCACUUUGUGGGAUUCUGGAGAAGAAUAUCUAUGUAUAUAUGAGAGGGGAGCGUAAAGAG